CAUUUCUGGAAAACCAAUCGUGAAUACUAUAAGUAUUUUAAGCCUUAACAAGCCUUCAAGAACCA
rnacentral:tRNA from 1 species